rnacentral:rRNA from 1 species
UACGUAGGGGGCAAGCGUUAUCCGGAUUUACUGGGUGUAAAGGGAGCGUAGACGGCAAGGCAAGUCUGGAGUGAAAGCCCGGGGCCCAACCCCGGGACUGCUCUGGAAACUGUGGUGCUAGAGUGCAGGAGGGGUGGGCGGAAUUCCUAGUGUAGCGGUGAAAUGCGUAGAUAUUAGGAGGAACACCAGCGGCGAAGGCGGCCCACUGGACUGCGACUGACGUUGAGGCUCGAAGGCGUGGGGAGCAA